UUGAACCCCUUUCUUUAUUUCAAGGGUGCAGGCUUUUUUUGUAUAUACCAACGGGACUUUUGUCUUUGAAAAUGAAGGAAGUUUGGACAUUUCAAAGGAGAAAUCCCUUAAACCAGCUGCCACUUUGCUCAUUUCAACCUUUGACACUAUGAAGAGUUUCAAGGACUUGUCUUCUGAAAGUGUUUACCUUGUGAGGUGGCUUCCUGGGUACGUUCUUUGGAUUUAUGCAGUAGCCAUGUUUGUCAAAGUAUUUGGCACCAGUGACAUCAUUUCUGUUGAAAUACCGGACAGUGUGAUGAGUCUCAGAUGUUAACGCACACCAAAAGUCGAGAACGAAUAAAAUAUAAAGAUCAACUGUAACAGCUAUGGAGGACUGUACUCAAUUUACAUUCUGAUGUUGAUACACAAAGGCUAUAGGAUUUUGUCAAGGGCUUCUAAAGCUGUUAAGACUUCCAGGCAUGAAAAUCCACUGAAGCUGACUUGAGAAGUCGACAAGUUGCUGCCUUCAUAGACUUCUGUGUUCUGGAAGCAUGGAAAACUCCCUGAUGCCUGAAACGUGCAUGCACUCUUAUGGAACAUGAUAUGUGAGUAUAAUCUAAUAUGUGUAUGAAGGAGCUGAAGAGUACAUUGUCUUUUCAUGUAAAUGUAUCAGGAAAGUCCCCAGAACUAAUUUCUGGAAGCAGUUAGGAAAGCUGACAGAGCAUAGCAGGACUGGAGACUCUUUCUUGUUGCUCAGCAGACUGUGUUGAAUGGUUGGGCUGAGCAGAGCACCACACACAUUCAGUCAGUAAAAAUUGUUGGCAUCACCUGAAGAUGAUUGUUAUCUCUGGAAGACUCCUUGUCACGUGGAUAGCUUUCAUGCACAGUAUGAUGUGUGGUAUGAAGCGAGUUUUGCAUGUUUUCAGCCAGAAUGCAAACCCAAGAGCUGCAGAGCAUAUCUGUGCAGAAAUAGCUAAGGGCACCUGGCAAGAAAACAAUGGUUCCUGGUGGCCCAAAACCUAGUUCUGCUGGAGCUUCUGGAAGUGCCUCAUCUCCUCAGCUCACUGCUGGCUCCACACUUGGAGUUCAAGAUUGAACUUCUAAAUUAAAUCUUGUGACCAUCUCCAUUGUUUAUGCUUUUAUUCAUGUUGAGGAACUGUCUCAAGUGCAUGAACUGGAAUUAAUUUCGGAUAAAAGUAAACCAACCACAUCUGACACACUGCAGAUAGAAAUAGGUGCUUGAUCUGUGGGAUUAAACAAGAGACAGUCCGAAGUAAAAAUAAAUAAAUUAAUUAAAAUUGCCAGUAAUGUAGAUUUCUGGUCCUUACUGUCAAAUGUUUUGCUCUGCAGAUCCACUUCUUCUGGUCUGCACUAUUUGCCAAUGUGGAUGUAAGCCUAAAAGUUCAACUGAGCUUUUUUUCUCAGUGUAAAAAGAAGUUUCUGAUGGCUUCAGAAAAUGUUCAGUCUAUCAUGAUUCAGUCUUAAAGAGUGAAAUGGGAAAGAUAAAACUUUAACAUCUUUAUCAAACAGUACACAUCCGAGAUAAAAGCCCGAGCAAGUCCAGAGUGUAGUAAUAUUUUAGGUGUUACUACAUUCCAGGAUUCUUUAAUUGUCUUUAAUAUAUACAUGUAUUUUAAACUUGCAUAUCAGAACUGUAAAAAUACACCAAAGCUGAUGGCAGUGCACAUGAUCAAAUCCUCUUAAAUAUAAGCUCUGCUUGGUUUCCCAUAUGAUUUUUAGUGCCUGUUAAUUGUUUAGGGAUCAGUUUCUGCUGUGAUGCUGCUUAUAAGUGUAUAUAUAAAGGUAAGGGAGAACAUCACCUCUCUUGAUGUGGCAGACAGUUGCUAAAUAAAUCUCUACUAGGUGGGUGCACUGUCACCCUAAAUAAGGCAUAAAUCAUAAAUUAAAUUUUAGAAAUAACUAUUUUAACUAGGGCAGUGUGGUGCUGUGAAUCUUUUAUGAGAAAGGAAAAGUACAUUUUGUAGUGUUUUGUUUCAGCAGUUUUAAUAAUGCUUUUUAUUUUCAGUGAGGACUUCAGGUCAUUUGGAUUGUUUUCAUUGAAAUUAGAAAGCAAAGUACUCCUGCCCAAAUGAAAAUAGAUUUAGGGUUUUUCUCCCUUUCUUCAAAAACAAAUGUACUUAGUAAACAACAUAGGAAUUGCUUAAUACACUGAGAUAUCAAGCUAUUUUUGCAGAAUUGCAGGAAAGCAUGAUAAAACACAAUUUGCUAUUACUGCUGUUGGCAGUACUUUGAACUGGUGAAAGAGAUGCAUUCCUUAUUUUUCAGAUGUAUUUUGCUUUGUGUCUUAGUAGGUGACAAAUAUACAACCAGUUCUAUAAGUCCUUGAAAGAUUUUAUAUUCUCUUCAGUAUUUUAAAAUUAAGUUUGAUCCAUCCUAAGUUUCAGCAUGAGUCCUCAUUGGCAGCAUGGCGUUAAUAAAUCAUCAGAGCACCAUUGAUCAACUGGCUUAUUUAACACUGCACAAACAGCAAGAACUUAUACUGGGCCACAAACCCCACUCCAUGCCUUUGCCAUUAGGAGAGUUAAUUAUUUCACACUGACAGGUUAUUAAGUUCUCUCUAGCUCCAGAAUUAAUAUGAAAAAUACUUAGAAGAGACUUUUGGGCAAAGAGCAAGUUGGGUCAGGUCUGAUCCCAGAUCAGGUUGGUCUGUUCUGGGUGAGACAGUCACUACUAGAAUAGUAGCUCUAUUCAGAGACUCAGCUUCUACACCUGAAAAAGGGGGGAAAUUAUCCUGGUCCUUACCAUGUGGUUACCGAUUGACUGGGCCCCAUUCAUUUUCAACCAUUUUCUAUUCCUGCUGUAGGAUAGCUUUUCCCAAGUAAUCCUUAGGCAAUUAUCUUAGACUUCAGCCUGACUUGGCUCAUUACAUUUCUCUGCUCUCCAUUCCCUGCUCAUCUUUCUUUGAUGUUGCAUUUUUAUACAUUACUUUCCCCACAUGCACUUGUAGGAUUCAGCCUGUAUUGGCCUUAUUAUAACUUUCACUAUCUUCAUAAUGAACUGGCUCUGUUUUCUCAUUUCAUGUAAUGAAAAGAAACCACUGUCAAAUAGCAACCAUUAAUGGCACAAAUUUCUAUAUCUCACUAAACAGAAACACUCAGAUCUUCACCUGAUAAAUUUAGUGCAAUUCGAUCUAACUUUGUCUCCUUCAAAACAGCAGCCUGGUAUCCAAAUUAGGUCUUAGAUUAGAAUUGUCAUCAAGACUGUCUACUCUAGGGAAAACCAGAAAUAUUUGGAGAAUAAUUUAGCCCAUACAAAGUGAAUCCUUAAGUACCAGGUGAAGGUGUGUGAACACCCUCCAUGGAGCCAGAGAGCAGCCUUGGACCCCUGGAGUCCUGACUUCACGUCCUUUACAGAGGAACAUCCACAUAGGCCAUAUUCUUCAGUCUGCCAAAAAGGUAAUUCAGAGAAGAUAAGAAAAAGGAUCAGAAGAUCAUGAUUGCCAUGGAGAGGAAGAAAUACCCACUAUUUUUUCUGAUACCAGAAGUGAGGGGAUUAAAUGAAGGCAACAUGCACAGCCUCAGAGGGGAUCACGAUGGUUCUGCACAGCGGGGGCCCUCAUGCUGUGGGUAUUGAUCCUUUAUGGGGGCGUUCAGUAGGCAACUAGAGAAGUUCAUGGAAGAGAAAUCCAGCAAGGUCUGCCAAUGAGAAUCCUCUAAGAUGCAAAUUUUUGGCGACUGGCAAAGUUUUCUGGGUAAAUAUCACUAAAUGUUUGUUCCUUGCUUGCACUAAUUCCCAGGCAUCCACUUGGUCACUGUUAAGGCCAACUGGGCUGAAUGCAUGUCUUGCACAAGCUGGUGAGACAUGUUUAAUACUAUUCAGUA